UACGGGGGGGGCAAGCGUUGUUCGGAAUUACUGGGCGUAAAGGGCUCGUAGGUGGUCAACUAAGUCAGACGUGAAAUCCCUCGGCUUAACCGGGGAACUGCGUCUGAUACUGGAUGGCUUGAAUCCGGGAGAGGGAUGCAGAAUUCCAGGUGUAGCAGUGAAAUGCGUAGAUAUCUGGAGGAAUACCGGUGGCGAAGGCGGCAUCCUGGACCGGCAUUGACGCUGAUGAGCGAAAGCUAGGGGAGCAAACGGG
rnacentral:rRNA from 1 species